rnacentral:rRNA from 1 species
UGAGGAAUAUUGCGCAAUGGGCGAAAGCCUGACGCAGCAACGCCGCGUGGAUGAUGAAGUUCUUCGGAAUGUAAAGUCCUUUUGUAGAGGAAGAAUGUGCCGGUUUACCGGCACUGACGGUACUCUACGAAUAAGCCCCGGCUAACUACGUGCCAGCAGCCGCGGUAAUACGUAGGGGGCAAACGUUGUCCGGAAUCAUUGGGCGUAAAGCGCUUGUAGGCGGUCGCAUAAGUCAGAUGUCAAAUCCUCGGGCUUAACCCGGGUCCGCAUUUGAUACUGUGCGGCUUGAGAGAUGUAGAGGAAAGCGGAACUACCGGUGUAGCGGUGAAAUGCGUAGAUAUCGGUAGGAACACCAGUGGCGAAGGCGGCUUUCUGGACAUUUUCUGACGCUGAGAAGCGAAAGCUAGGGGAGCAAACGGG